rnacentral:rRNA from 1 species
UACGUAGGGUGCGAGCGUUAAUCGGAAUUACUGGGCGUAAAGGGUGCGCAGGCGGUUUGCUAAGUCAGAUGUGAAAUCCCCGGGCUCAACCUGGGCAUGGCAUUUGAGACUGGCAAGCUAGAGUGUGUCAGAGGGGGGUAGAAUUCCACGUGUAGCAGUGAAAUGCGUAGAGAUGUGGAGGAACACCGAUGGCGAAGGCAGCCCCCUGGGAUAACACUGACGCUCAAGCACGAAAGCGUGGGGAGCAAACAGG